UACGGAGGGUGCAAGCGUUAUCCGGAUUUACUGGGCUUAAAGGGUGCGUAGGCGGGCAGGUAAGUCUGAGGUGAAAUCUCCGAGCUUAACUCGGAAACUGCCUUUGAUACUAUUUGUCUUGAAUAUUGUGGAGGUAAGCGGAAUAUGUCAUGUAGCGGUGAAAUGCUUAGAUAUGACAUAGAACACCUAUUGCGAAGGCAGCUUACUGCGCAUAUAUUGACGCUGAGGCACGAAAGCGUGGGGAGCAAACAGG
rnacentral:rRNA from 1 species